rnacentral:rRNA from 1 species
CCUACGGGAGGCAGCAGUGAGGAAUAUUGGUCAAUGGACGGAAGUCUGAACCAGCCAAGUAGCGUGAAGGAUGACUGCCCUAUGGGUUGUAAACUUCUUUUAUAUGGGAAUAAUAUGUUCCACGUGUGGGAUUUUGUAUGUAUCGUAUGAAUAAGGAUCGGCUAACUCCGUGCCAGCAGCCGCGGUAAUACGGAGGAUUCGAGCGUUAUCCGGAUUUAUUGGGUUUAAAGGGUGCGUAGGUUGAUUGUUAAGUUAGUUGUGAAAGUUUGCGGCUUAACCGUAUAACUGCAGUUGAAACUGGCAGUCUUGAGUACAGUAGAGGUGGGCGGAAUUCGUGGUGUAGCGGUGAAAUGCUUAGAUAUUACGAAGAACUCCGAUUGCGAAGGCAGUUCACUGGACUGCAACUGACACUGAGGCUCGAAAGUGUGGGUAUCGAACAGGAUUAGAUACCCUUGUAGUC